UCGUAAUUUCACACUGUGUACUAGGCAUAAAGGGAAUUCUAGUAAUUUGUUUAUCCAUAGUAAGAAUCGCGUGCUGACAACAUGUGAUACGUGAAAGUCUGCUACGAUACUAUCCCACAUUUAUAAUUCCUGUGAAAAUCACCGUGACUACUAACCGACAGUAUUAUACCCCUUACUACCAUUGGCAUAUACACGUCGAUUUCCACUUGAGUAAUUUAUUCCAACGACUCAGCGAACCUCGGUUAAUCCAUUACGUGGUAACAAACGUCCAUCUUUGUUUCAUACGCCCACCAAUUUGCCAACCAUCAAUUUUGCUAGAACGCGCGCGUACUCCUCUCCCUACUGUUCACAUUUCUCACCAGUAAAGCUUACUCAUGCGCGUGUUUGACACGCACAUAAGCAUUACGCACAAAGCGUUGUUUUAUAUAAAAACAAAAAAAUUACUACUAAGUCAGGUCUUAAAGAGCACAAAGUGUGUACCCCUCAAAGAUACCAACGACUACCCAGGAUUCCUUACAACGUGUUAAAUACCCCUUUUACUUUUUUUUUUCCUUUUCUUGACUUUCAUGAGAAUCAAGAGAGCUCGUGAAGUGUCAUCAAUUAGUCGCUCUUAAAAUGUUCAGAAUCUUCUCGACCACCCGUACUCGAGUAAUUCUCAAAGCACCGUGGUCCAACGUUGCCAUCGCGUAAGGGGGUGCACCGAUCCGGUAAAGAGGGUGGCCGGUAUCCCUGGUACCGACGAACGUAAAACGUCACUCUCCUCGGCCCAUAAAACAGGAGGCAAUUAAAAGGGAUGCCUUUUCGAAAAAUAAAAAAAAUAAGCGGCCCGGUUAAAAGUGUCGAGGGUUUCCCGUUCACACGUGCGUAACCGAGCCGCGGACGCGCAACGACGCCUUUUACAUGAAAAACAAAGAAUCCUCAGAGGGGUGAAGCCGAAGUGCGAGAAAUAGAGAAGAGCAAGAGCAAAUGGAAAAAAGAGAAGAGAGAGAGAGAGAGAAAACAGAGUGACUGAGAGUUCAAGAGAGACGGAUAGUAGAUAAAGGAAUGACGCGAGGACUCGAAACUCUGACAAGAUUUAAAGCCGUCUGAGCAUCCGUGCAUCGGGACGCCGACGUCCACGCUUUGCUGGACGACUCCAAGUGGGCGUUUAUCCUGGGGAUGGGGUUACGACACCGGACGCGAAAUGGCCUGUCUAAUUUGUUAGCAACUCCUCGCGGGUUCGCUACACUAACCUCCAUUAGGAUGGCCCUUGCGCUUUUGCUUCGAAGACCAAAAAGUCCCUCACCUGAUUCAGACCAAUAUGACGUGGCGGUUACUAAUGGUCGCAGACGAUAACUCUCUAGGAACAAGGAUAUAAAGUAUCCAUAGUACUUGAAGAGUGGUUUAUACCAAUUCCAAAAAUGAGCAGGGAGGACCAGUGGCUUUUACAACGUGUUAAGAAGAGUCUACGUAGAAGAAAGAAAAGGAGGACCAAGAGUUUUCCUCUCCGAGCACGAAGAGGGUGUAUCUUGAGUUUCGCGUGUAAAUAUAGCGGCGCGGUAUUUCAAAGAGACACUUUGUAUCGGUAAGGCAAGCACAGUACCAGCCAUAAGAUCAGGGGUCUAUGGAGUGUCGUUAAAAAGCUCGCCACGAUACACCGGUUUCUACGUUUACGAUCCUCACCGGUCUUCCACGUCUCAUAAAGCCCCGAAAUGCUACAAGAUUUUUGACCACGUUUCCUAAGUAGUGCUCUGGACGUGACCUCUGUCCUGGAACAGGAUGAUGGCUCAUUUCCAAGGAGGCGACAAUAUAUUAUCAUCCAAAAUGGUACUGUCACUAUCAAACCCACUGCCAAAUCUCCGCCCUGUCGUUUGACAGUUACCAGCGGAAAUAGUACAAGGAAUUCAAUCAUAUAAGGAAUAUAUAUAUAAUAUUCUAGCUGAUAUGGGAAAAUUCGCAGAAAAAAUAAGAAGAAAAUACAAGGAGAAUAAUAUGAUAAGGUUAAAAGAAGCUCGCUAGACAUCUCAAUUGCCCAAUGAAGAUUCCUGGCUUCGCGCCCCGUGGCUACUGUACGUUUAACUUUAGCCUAACUAAAAGGGCCCAAUUAAAGCGGAUCGUUAACGAGCGUCAAAAUAUCAUUAGCAAGGCUGAUUAGUCACUGAACGAACCUAAUUACCCAAUGAGGAUCCUCGCAUUAUUGAUUAAUACUCCAGCCAAUUAAAUCCUUAAAUACUAAAUUCGUUCUACCGUCAAAUUAUAAUAACUGUCAACUUACGUAAUACCACUAUUACUAUACACAUAGAAUAUAGAAGUUUCUUAUAAUCCAUAGCGUCUUGUCGAUAAAUAAUACAUAAUUAACAAUUCGUCAAUUAACGGUACUAAAAAUGCUUUUAUUAUACUUGUUUACGACUUUCACACGAUUUGCCUCAAUAUUCACGUGUAUAUCUAUAUAUACUGAAAUUUAACUGAACGUAUCUUCGCGUGGUUUCACCCAUUGUCAAUUCUCAUGUCGUGUCAGAAUUAAUCGGAAUGCCUUUGCAGCGCAUGAGAAAUUGGACUUUCUGUUACGGACUCUUAAGGAGAGUCGUGAAUACCUUAAAGUUUGAUUAAGGAUGAAGUAGGAAAAAAAUAAUUUUACAAUUUUAUUACAUGGGCAUGAGGAUCGUUAGUAUCUUGAGAACAGGAAGAAUCCAA